AAAGUCGUAACAAGGUUUCCGUAGGUGAACCUGCGGAAGGAUCAUUACCGAGCUCGUGCCCCCCGGGGUAGACUCCCACCCGUGCGUGUGCUACUUUGUUGCUUUGGCAGGCCGCCUCCUCGGAGCCGCCGGCGUUCACGCUGGCGUGUGCCUGCCAGAGACCCCCAAACUCGUGUCUCUGUAAACGUCUGAGUACCUACAAAUGAAAUAAAACUUUCAACAACGGAUCUCUUGGCUCUG
rnacentral:misc_RNA from 1 species